rnacentral:rRNA from 1 species
GACGAACGCUGGCGGCGUGCUUAACACAUGCAAGUCGAACGAAAAUACCAAGCUUGCUUGGUUGAUUAGUGGCGAACGGGUGAGUAACACGUGAGUAACCUGCCCCUUACUUUCCUGGAUAACUGCUCGAAAGGGUAGCUAAUACGGGAUAUUCUGACCAGCCUGCAUGGGUUGGUUUGGAAAGGUUGUUUUUCUGGUAAGGGAUGGGCUCGCGGCCUAUCAGCUUGUUGGUGGGGUGAUGGCCUACCAAGGCUUUGACGGGUAGCCGGCCUGAGAGGGUGGACGGUCACACUGGGACUGAGAUACGGCCCAGACUCCUACGGGAGGCAGCAGUGGGGAAUAGUGCACAAUGGGCGCAAGCCUGAUGCAGCGACGCCGCGUGAGGGAUGAAGGCCUUCGGGUUGUAAACCUCUUUCGUCAGGGAACAAGGCACUGCUUUUGUGGUGGUGUUGAGGGUACCUGGAGAAGAAGCGCCGGCUAACUACGUG